rnacentral:rRNA from 1 species
UACGUAGGGGGCCAGCGUUGUUCGGAAUUACUGGGCGUAAAGGGUUCGUAGGUGGCUUGUUAAGUCAGACGUGAAAUCCCCUCGGCUCAACCGGGGAACUGCGUCUGAGACUGAUGAGCUCGAGUGCAGGAGAGGAACGCGGAAUUCCAGGUGUAGCGGUGAAAUGCGUAGAUAUCUGGAGGAACACCGGUGGCGAAGGCGGCGUUCUGGACUGCAACUGACACUGAGGAACGAAAGCCAGGGGAGCAAACGGG